rnacentral:lncRNA from 1 species
CGCGGUUUCUUUGUGGCAUCUUCAGUAUUUCUGAUAGGUAUGUACCUUGUAAAAUUGGAAUUUAGGAUGGCCAAAUUAAUAGUAUCUUAUGCCGUAGCAUUUUCAAUGACAGGAUUCGCGGCAACAUAUUUGAGAUUCUUCCCAUCCAUUAAGAAGAAUUAUGAUUAUGGUGUGGUGAUUUUUUUGCUAACCUUCAAUCUGAUAACGGUCUCAAGCUUCCGCCAGGAGAACAUACUGCCUUUAGCACGAGAUCGCUUGAGUACAAUUGCCAUAGGGUGUGCCAUAUGCCUCUUUAUGAGCCUCUUUGUGUUGCCAAACUGGUCGGGAGAGGACCUCCACAGCCGCACUGCGCACAAAUUUGAAGGAUUGGCAAGAUCAGUUGAAGGUGGGUAUCACAUAUAUGGUGUUAACACGCUAACUAUUAUCAUACUAAUAGCUUAAUCUUUAAUGUAAGAAAAUAUCAGAACUCAGUAGUAUCUUACCAAAGAAAAAUUGCAGGUUGUGUGAAUGAGUAUUUCCGAGAUCAAGAGAAGCAUGAUAACAUUCUUGAUAAGCAGACAUCGAGAGCUUCCAUUCAUACUGGGUAUAGAGAAGUACUAGACUCA